GAGAGUCGGUUAGUCCGGCACGAGCGCACCCUAUCGUUAGUUGCUACCAGGUUAUGCUGGGCACUUUAGACGAGACUCCCGGUGUUAAACCGGAGGAAGAUGGGGAUGACGUCAAGUCCUCAUGGCCCUUAUGGCUGGGGCUACACACGUACUACAAUGGCAACUACAGAGGGUAGCGAGACCGCAAGGUGGAGCCAAUCCCAAAAAGGUUGCCUCAGUUCGGAUUGGAGUCUGCAACUCGACCCCAUGAAGUUGGAAUCGCUAGUAAUCGCGGAUCAGCAUGCCGCGGUGAAUACGUUCCCGGGCCUUGUACACACCGCCCGUCACACCACGAAAGUUGGCCGGGCCCAAAGUCGCUAACCUAACCCUCGGGAAGGAUGCGCCUACGGUCUUGCCGAUAAUUGGGGUGAAGUCGUAACAAGGUAGCCGUANGGGAACCUGCGGCUGGAUCACCUCCUUU
rnacentral:rRNA from 1 species